UUGCUGUCUCCCUCUGCUUUCAGCAGAGCUUUCCUCCUCUCUGGACCCUGUCCAUAUGGGAAAACAGGAGGUCUCCACAAAUCAGGGACAGGAGGAGCCAGGUCUCUAGAGGGAGUUUUCUGUGCCUUGUUCCACAUACAGUCGUACAGGAGCCCCGGGUCCUGGGACCUCAUUUCAGUGGUGGAGAGGCCUGUGCCAGGCAGUGCCACUGAUCUAGAUGGCAAUGGAAAUGGCCCUGCCCCCAAUAUAUGGGGCUGGCUGGCACCUGGGAUGGAGGGGUCAGUGGGCAUGGUCCCCAGCCUGUGGCUUCUCCUGGGCCUGGUCCUGUCUGGGGCCCAGAUAACUGAGGCAGCCUCCAAGGUGGGCACAGCAGUGACAGCGGAGCCAGGAUCAGCAGGAGGGUCAGGGACCUGGAGCACAGAGCACCCCCGGUCCCCCGGGAGCUCAGGAGAGUGUGGCACAGAGCUGGGACCCUGACCGCUGAGGAUGGGCCGGGCCUGGCUGCUGCCGGGUUCCCUCAGGAAACCAAGAGGCGAGUUCUGGGAUGUGGAGGAGCAGGAUGUGGCGCCCACGGCUCAGGCUAGGAGAAGUGCCACAGGCAACGCUGAGAGACCAACAAGAACACAGGAAGCCACAAGCCCUGAGCCCUUCUGCGGCUCAGUCUCCCAUGAGGUGCAGCAAGGCCAGCAAUGGAGAGACCCACAGAGACCUCCCGCAGGAACCUCACAGACACAUCCCGUACAGAGUGAGCACGCCGGGACCUCCCUCUGCCACAGAGAGAAACACGCCGGGACCUCCCUCUGCCACAGAGAGAAACAGCUGCAGCCUCCACAGAGACCCCACGGAGCUCUCAGAGACCUCGUGGUGCCCCACAGAGACCUAGCACAGAGAUUCCCAGAGCCCUCACACAGAGAACCCCACAGAGGCCACACUGAGAGACUUCACUCAGUCCCACAGAGACCUCCCGCAAAUGUCAGAGAUCUUCCAUGGUUCCCACACAGAGACACCACACAGACCCCACACAGACCCCACAGAGACCCCACACACACCCCACACAGAGAACCCACACAGACCCCACACACAGACCCCACACACACCCCACACACACACCACACAGACCCCACACACACCCCACACACAGACCCCACACACAGACCCCACACACACCCCACACACAGACCCCACACAGACCCCACACACACCCCACACAGACCCCACACACACACCCCCACACACAGACCCCAAGACACACACCCCCACACACCCCACACACACCCCACACACACACCCCACACACACCCCACACACACCCCACACACACCCCACACACAUACCCCACACACACACCCCCACACACAGACCCCACACACAGACCCCACACACACCCCACACACACCCCACACACACACCCCACACACACCCCACACACAGACCCCACACACACCCCACACACACCCCACACACACCCCACACACACACCCCACACACACCCCACACACAGACCCCACACACACCCCAAACACACCCCACACACACCCCACACCCCCACACACCCCACACCCCACACACAGACCCCACACACACCACACACAGACCUCACACACACCACACACACACCCCACACAGAUACCACACACACACAGACCCCACAUUCACACACACAGACCUCACACACACCCCACACACAGACCCCCACACACCCCCACACACACCCCCACACACACCCCACACACACCCCACACACACCCCACACACAGACCCCCACACACACCCCCACACACACCCCACACACAGACCCCACACACACCCCACACACACCCCACACACACCCCACACACACCCCACACACAGACCCCACACACAGACCCCACACAGACCCCACACACAGACCCCACACAGACCCCACACACACCCCACACACACCCCACACACAGACCCACACACACCCACACACACCCCACACACACCCACACACACCCACACACACCCCACACACACCCCACACACACCCCACACACAGACCCCACACACACCCCACACACAGACCCCACACACACCCCACACAGACCCCACACACACCCCACACACACCCCACACACAGACCCCACACACACCCCACACACACCCCACACACAGACCCCACACACACACCCCACACACACCCCACACACACCCCACACACACACCCCACACACACACCCCACACACACCCACACACACCCCACACACCCCCCCACACACACCCCACACACACCCCACACAACCCCACACACCCCACACACACCCCACACACACCCCACACACACCCCACACACACCCCCACACACACCCCACACACCCCACACAGACCCCACACACACCCCACACACACCCCACACACACCCCCACACACACCCCACACACACACCUCACACACCCCACACACACCACUCACACACGCCACUCACACACACACCUCACACACCCCACACACACCCCACACACACCCACACACCCCACACCCACAGCCCCACACACCUACACACACACCCACACACACCCACACACACCCCAUACACACACCACACACACACCCACACACAGACCCUACACACACCCCACACACACCCCCACACACCCCACACACACCCCACACACCCCACACACACCCCCACACACACCCCACACACCACACACAGACCCCACACAGAUCCCCACACCCCACACACACCCCACACACACCCCACACACACCCCACACACACACCCCACAGACCCCACACAGACCCCACACACACACCCACACACACACCCCCCACACACACCCCACUCACACCCCACACACACCCCACACAGACCCCACACACACCCCACACACACCCCACACACACCCCACCCCACACACACCCCACACACACCCCACACACACCCCACACACACCCCCACACACACCCCACACACACCCCACACACACCCCACACACACACCCCCACACCCCACACAGACCCCACACACACCCCACACACCCCACACACACCCCACACACACACCACACACACACCCCACACACACCCCACACACACCCCACACACACCCCACACACACAGACCCCACACCCCCACACACACCCCACACACACCCCACACACACCCCACACACACCCCACACACACACCCCACACACACACCCCACACACACACCCCACACACACCCCACACACACACCCCACACACACCCCACACACACCCCACACAACACCCCACACAGACCCCCACACACACCCCACACACACCCCACACAGACCCCACACACACCCCACACACACCCCACACACCCCCCCACACACACCCCCCCACACACCCCACACACACCCCACACACACCCCCACACACACCCCACACACACCCCACACACACCCCACACACAGACCCCACACACACCCCACACACAGACCCCACACACACCCCACACACACCCCACACACACCCCACACACACACCCCACACACACCCCACACAGACACACACCCCACACAGACACACACCCCACACAGACACACACCCCCACACACACCCCACACAGACACACACCCCACACAGACCCCCCACUCCACACACACCCCACACAGACCCCCACACACACACCCCACACAGACACACACCCCACACACACCCCCCACACACACCCCACACACACCCCACACACAGACCCCACACACACCCCACACACAGACCCCACACACACACCCCACACACACCCCACACACACCCCCACACACACCCCACACACACCCCACACACACCCCCACACACCCCACACACACCCCACACAGACCCCACACAGACCCCCACACACACCCCACACACACCCCACACACACCCCACACAGACCCCACACACACCCCACACACACCCCACACACACCCCCACACAGACCCCCACACACACCCCACACACACCCCACACACACCCCACACACCCCCCACACACACCCCACACACACCCCACACACACACCCCACACACACCCCCACACACAGACCCCCACACACCCCACACAGACCCCCACACACACCCCACACACACACCCCACACACACCCCACACACACCCCACACACACCCCACACAGACCCCACACACACCCCCACACACACCCCACACACACCCCACACACAGACCCCACACACACCCCACACACAGACCCCCACACACCCCACACACACCCCCACACACACCCCACACACACCCCACACACACCCCCACACACACACCCCACACACACCCCACACACACCCCACACAGACCCCACACACACCCCACACACACCCCACACACACACCCCACACACACCCCACACACACCCCACACACACCCCCCACACACACCCCACACACACACCCCACACACACCCCACACACACCCCACACACACCCCCCACACACCCCCCACACACACCCCACACACAGACCCCACACACACCCCACACACACCCCACACACAGACCCCACACACACCCCACACACAGACCCCACACACACCCCACACACCCCACAUACACCCCUACACACACCCCCAUACCCCACACAGACCCACACACACCCCUCCACACACACCCCACACACCCCCACACACACACCCCACACACACCCCCCACACACACCCCACACACACCCCACACACCCCCACACACACCCCACACACACCCCACACACACCCCACACACACCCCACACACCCCCACACACACCCCACACACACCCCACACACACCCCACACACACCCCACACACACCCCACACACACCCCACACACACCCCACACACCCCCCACACACACCCCACACACACCCCACACACAGACCCCACACACACCCCACACACAGACACACACUCCACACAGACACACACCCCACACAGACACACACCCCACACACAGACACACACUCCACACAGACACACACCCCACACACAGACACACACUCCACACACACACACCCCCACACACACCCCACACACACACCCCACACACACCCCACACACACCCCACACACACCCCACACACACCCCACACACACACCCCACACACACCCCACACACACCCCACACACACCCCACACACACCCCACACACACACCCCACACACACCCCACACACACCCCACACACACCCCACACACACACCCCACACACACCCCACACACAGACCCCACACACAGACCCCACACACACCCCACACACACCCCACACACCCCACACACAGACCCCACACAGACCCCACACACAGACCCCACACAGACCCCACACACACCCCACACACACCCCACACACACCCCACACACAGACCCCACACACACCCCACACACACCCCACACACACACCCCACACACACACCCCACACACACCCCACACACACCCCACACACACCCCACACACACCCCACACACACCCCACACACACCCCACACACAGACCCCACACACACACCCCACACACAGACCUCAGCGACUUCACAAAGAGACCCCAGACACAGACCCCACACAGAGUCCUAAAACAGGGACUUCAUGCAGAGACUCAUGCAGCUCACUGCAACCUCCGGCCUCCAGCUCCAGAAAUGGCACCUCCCCCCCACUGCCUCACAGAGACCCUCUCAGAGUCCUCCUCACACAGAGACCUCGCCCGCACUCCCCCCUCUCCACAGACACCUCGCACAGAUGCCUCACACACAGGCCCCAGGCUGCUCCACGCUCAUUACCCAGAAACCUCUCACCCAGAAUUCCCUCAGACAUUCCACACGGAGACUCUGUAGAGCUCCCACAGGGUCCUCACGGGGUCCCCACACAGGGACUUCAUAUAGUCCCAUGGUCCCUCACACAGAGAUUUCCCACAGGGACUUCCCACAGGGACCCCGCAGAGGCCUCUGGAAGAUAGCUCCCACAGAGACCUUCUGCACAGGCCUCAUACAGACGCCUCACAAGAGACAACAGGGCCCUCUCGCUGCCCCGUGGGGUCCUCCACAGAGCCCUCAUGUGGCCUCGCAGGUCUCCUACAGAAAGACUCGGAUUUCACAGAGACUUGCCACAUAGAACUCACGCAGAAACCUCGCCCUGAGGCUCCAGAGACCUCACUCAGAGCUCUCGCCAGGAGCCUGGCACUGAGGCCUCCCACAGGGCGCUCACACAGCGUCCUGGCCGUAGGUGAGAUGCCCCUCACAGACACUCCGCAGAGAUCCCGCACACAGGCUUCACAGACACCACACAUCCGCUCUUUAGGGGCCCGAGCAGCCACCUGUUGACAGGUCCUUCUCAGUGGAUACAAAACCACUUAGCACACCAGCAGCACAGCCGGGAUGUCAGCUGCACUCCCCAAGAACCCCGCGACACCCAGAUAUUGUCAGCAGUGCACUGAAGGGGCUUUUCUGCUUGGGGACAUGCUCAUACAAUUUUUUUCUUUGGUAACGUCGCUGCCUCUGAAAAGAAUUAUGGAUUCCACAGGUAGACCUGCAAAUUCUUUUUUUCCCACAGGUUUCUAUUAGCUUGAAUUCUGACCCACAAUUUAGAGCAUUCAUUUUCUUAAAUUAUUUUUUGAGAUGGAGUCUUGCUCUGUUGUCCAGGCUGGAGUCCAGCGGGAUAAUCUUGGCUCACUGCAACUUCUGCCCCCUGAGUUCAAGAGAUUCUCCUGCCUCAGCCUCCUGAGUAGCUGGGAUUAUAGGCAUGCACCACCAUGCCCAGCUAAUUUUUUGUAUUUUUAGUAGAGACAGGGUUUCACCAUGUUGGCCAGCUGGACUCAAACUCCUGACCUCAGGUGAUCCACCCACCUCGGCCUCCCAAAGUGCUGGGAUUACAGGCGUGAGCCACUGUGCCCUCCCCAAAAUUUUUAAAUGAGUAAAAUAUUACCAACCUUCAAUGAAAGAAAA
rnacentral:lncRNA from 1 species